AGCUUUCUGGUACAUAUGAAAAUCUGGCAACACUGAUUAUGAUUCCCUGAACAUAGCAUAUUUGUGCACAAUUUUUGUAACAUCCAAACAUCCAAUUGUGUUAUCGAAGUGUUGGAGCGAAUACAUCGUUCAGUUGACAAAUUUCAGUAUAUGUAGUCACAUGUGGAAGAGACUUACGGGGAGAUUGUGCAUAACUCGUGGCAUGUCAUCGUUUGCGCCGUUUUAAGUCAACAGACUCCAUAUUCACAAAACCUUAUAAUUUCAUAGUCGAAUAUUUGGUAUCGGAAGUCAUCAGCCCUCACCAAACAAGUAACCACCAUUGAUUUGGUAUUGCUGGUGUUGAAUAGGAUGACCACGAAACGACGCGUGAAAUUAAUUGGAAUAAGCAUUACCUCCUCAAAGGUUUUCAUUGCCCUGGCGGAUGUGCCGAUUUUUUAACGCUCGUUCUAAUAGUCUUCAACAAUUUUCUACAAGUUGCCGCUGUACUAAUAAACCGCCCGCCAGCGAUCUCACCGCAGUCAUGAACUCAANAAUUUUACUAAAUUCUCAUAUGCACGUGAACAUAUUGGUGUGAGUUUUACCGAGAGUAUCUGUGAGCGCAAUAACGUAUCACUUACGUAAGGUGAAAGAGGCGAUACAAUGUGCAAUAUGCCUGAAAGAGUUAACACGAUUUUACGAGCGAAAACAAGAAAAUGUGAAAUAUAAAUACCACUAAAAAUGUAUCUUUUAAAUAAAAAAAAUGCGGUCGUUGCAAAUUUAGUGCUUCUAUCAACUGAAAAAGAGUACUGGAGAAGCAACACAGUUGUAAAGACAGCUGAAAUCAUAUGAAUCGUUUAUUAGCAACUUUUGAAAGGUAGAACAAUUUAUUUUAUCCGCACUCAAGCUCACAGUCGUCUAAUACAAAUGUAAAUACAUUUACAUCUUGGGAGUAAAAAAAAAAACUACAUAUUUCAAAAGAACGCGAAAUACUUAAAAUUGCUGUGCACAUUGUCGGAAAAUAUUAUAUAUACAAAAAUUGGUAGUUUUAAAAUGGUUCAAAAGUUGUAAUUUGUGAGACUCUUUAUCGCAAGAAUCUUCUAGGCAGAUUAAUUGAAACUAAUCAUUCGAAGACUUACUUGAUUACUACAGUUGUGUUGCCUGGAAUUACGCCGUACUAUAAUACACUUAUUCGGUUAAAACCGUUGAGUAAACCCUAUUAGGACGAAACUAUGGCGAUCACACCAUAAAUAAAUCGCAAAAAAUAUA
rnacentral:lncRNA from 1 species